rnacentral:rRNA from 1 species
UACGGAGGAUGCGAGCGUUAUCCGGAUUUAUUGGGUUUAAAGGGUGCGUAGACGGCGGUGCAAGCCAGAUGUGAAAGCCCGGGGCUCAACCCCGGGACUGCAUUUGGAACUGUGCUGCUAGAGUGUCGGAGAGGCAGGCGGAAUUCCUAGUGUAGCGGUGAAAUGCGUAGAUAUUAGGAGGAACACCAGUGGCGAAGGCGGCCUGCUGGACGAUGACUGACGUUGAGGCUCGAAAGCGUGGGGAGCAAACAGG